UACGGAGGGUGCAAGCGUUAUCCGGAUUUACUGGGUUUAAAGGGUGCGUAGGUGGCUUCGUAAGUCCGUUGUGAAAGUCAAAGGCUCAACCUUUGAAAGCCGAUGGAUACUGUGGAGCUAGAGUACGGAAGAGGCGAGUGGAAUUCCUGGUGUAGCGGUGGAAUGCGCAGAUAUCAGGAAGAACACCCGUGGCUAAGGCGGCUCUCUAGUACGGUACUGACGCUGAGACGCGAAAGCGUGGGGAGCAAACAGG
rnacentral:rRNA from 1 species